UGUUCACAAAUAUCGUAGCCAUUUGGACCCUCAACUUGUCGAGGCACUUAUUUGCACAAAGGAUUGGAUAAGGGCCGAAAGAAAAGAUCCAUAUAAUGUAACUUCACUUCUUGAUGAUUUAUCUAAUAUUAUUGACACCGUGAGUGAUGAUAAUGUUGAUCAUGAUGAAGAUGCUUCCGAUAUUGUUGACCACAACGUCGAUGAUAAUGACAUUGUUCAAGUGGAGGAAGAUUAGGAUCAUCUUUUUUUAUAGACAAGCUGAGCUGCUUCAUUCAAUCAUUAUUGGUGCUUGUUAUUCAGCAAU